AUGACCCUGAUAUCACAGUUGCCUCCAUCAGAAGAGACCCUAACCCUAGGGCUGUUGGAACAAGAGGAUCAAGGGAACACAUUUCAGAUUCCUGUCUCCUAUGUUCUCUGGAGGCCCAGGAGGACAUCUCAUCGAGUUGUCUCAUCAGCUGGACUCUCAUGGCUCUGGACCCAGAGUUUUAAAGACCAGGAUAUAGAGCAUAUCUCCCUGAGACUUACUUCAGUUAAACAGGAAAAUCCUCAGGGAGCUGCAGCCCUGGGAAAUAAUUGAUGUUAUGACUCAGAAUUUAUCAUAGAUCUAUAAUUUUUGAACAGUAGGAAAGUUCUUUUCAGGUUGUAUUCAGCCUUAAAAGUUGCUCUUUGCUGGCCAGUGAAGGAGGAGGUUUCAAAACCUUUCACAGACUGCAAAGUUCAGAGAGAGUUGAAGUUCAGAGAGAUUGAGAAUUUUUUUUGCAAUUAAUAUAAAAAUUUCAGAGAUUAAGGAAAUGACCAAUUUGCAACAGAUUGAUAUCUGAGUGAAAAUACAAGAGGACUGGCAAAAGAUAGAAAAUCAGCAUGGCAAUCUCCAAGAAAGAACACGGACAGAGAUAUUUUACUGUUUCUUAGGAGGAAGGGAUUGGAUUUAACAUCAAAAUCACACCGUGUAUUUUAUGUUGAAAGGUCCAGAACUGGAUCCCCGGUAGGAGCUUAUGUUCUAGAUAAACUGAAACUUUUGGAAUGCCUAGUGGACCACGGGCAAACUUCAAGCUGUCAUUCACAUGGAAGAUCAAGGACCCUCAUGGCAUGGAAAGUUGUUUUCAGGAGGACCACUAGACCCUGGAUCUGAAAAUCCCUAAAUCAGAGGAAAACAAAACACACUCUUAGCACCCUCCUCCUAUGUGGCCCAGGCAUCAUACAAGAUGGGGCAAAAUUCCCAAGCAAUACAGAAACGUUGAGGUCAGAGCUCACUCAGGCAUAAAAAUUCAAUGGCUAAUGCCAGAUGGGCUGCCAAACCGGUCCUGGCUGGACCAGUUCCAUCCAUAGGGAGGGAAAGCUGUGAGACAAAGAGCAAAUGAUAAUAACAAUAAUAAUAAGGAAACACAGGAACAAACGAAAAAAAGUCUAACGGCCUAAGAUAGCACAGUUGUGAAGACUUCAAGAAUACUUUGGAGGAGGGGUACCUGGCUGGCUUGGUCGGAAGAGCAUGUGACUCUUGAUCUUGGGGUGGUGAGUUUGAGCUCCACGUUGGAUGUAGAGAUUACUUAAUAAAUAAAUAAAUAUAUAUAUAUAUAUAUA
rnacentral:lncRNA from 1 species